rnacentral:rRNA from 1 species
UCAGACGAUGCGUCAUGCAUAUCAAUAAGCGGAGGAAAAGACACUAACAAGGAUUCCCCUAGUAACGGCGAGUGAAGCGGGAAGAGCUCAAAUUUGAAAUCUUAAAGGGUUUCCCUUUACGAAUUGUAGUUUAAAGAAGUGUUUUCUGUUGAGGUUUUGGUAAAAGUUCUUUGGAAUAGGACAUCAUAGAGGGUGAGAAUCCCGUAUUUGACCUUUACUUUCAACUUUGUGAUACACUUUCAAAGAGUCGGAUUGUUGGGGAACGCAGUCCAAAAUGGGUGGUAAAUUUCAUCUAAAGCUAAAUAUUGGCGAGAGACCGAUAGCGAACAAGUACCAGUGAGGGAAAGAUGAAAAGAACUUUGAAAAGAGAGUUAAAACAGUACGUGAAAUUGUCAAAAGGGAAGCGUUUGACACCAGUGUUGUUUUUCUGAAAAUCAAUUAAAGAACUGUUUAUGCUAAGCUGUUUAGACUUUAUCAGCUAUCUGUUUAGUUUUGAGCUUUUCUUUAAUGCACUUUUCAGUUAACAAGUCAACAUCAAUUUCUUUUGCUGUAAAAAAGCUUGAGGAAGGUGGCUUGAGAUUCGUCUUAAGUGUUUAUAGCCUCUUGCCUAUGCAGUCGGAGAGAUUGAGGUCUGCAGCGUAGAUCCUUCGGGGCUAAAUGCAUUUGUGCUAAGUUAUAGCAUUUUAUAGACAACUUGUUGACUAUGAUUUGUCUUGUAGCUUACUCGCUUAUGUUAUUUUACCUACGCUUAGGAUGUUGACACACGCGCGUGCUC